AUGGGUCUAUGGGUCUACCUGGGGCCAUGGAGGCUCAGAUUCCCCACCUGACCACUCCUCUCCUCGCCAAUCGCAGCUACCUUCAUCCAUCAGUGACAGCUUCAGAAUUACAUCAAAGGCUCUGAAAAGUCCUGCAGCUAAGAAACACAUUUAACUGUGCUUGUCCAGCAUUCGACCUCAGAAUCUUCCUUUCUUAGACCUAGUAACACUGCUUAGGAAAUGCUGCUGGAGCAGAAUCCUCUCAUUCGACAGCUGAAGUUCCGGGAGGACCAGUGACUUGCUGGAGGACAACGCACAGGCACCAGCUGAGAGACAGAAUUUUUGGAAGAACUUAGGGAAGAAACUAAGGAAAGACAACAGCACACAGCAACAAGGUGAGGCUGGAAGUUGAACCAGGGCUGCUGGGCUCGGGUGCCAGGCACCCCUUCCCCCCACUAGCCAGCAUUGCCAGGGAAGGGGUUUUGGGUUCAGGGGAGGGUUCCACCUGCAGGGCAGCAGGUGUGCUGGUCACACAGGGAUCCCUGGGGAAAGUCAGGGCUGCUUCCUGGACCUGAGUGGAUUGGCUGGUGGGCAGCACUGAGAGCUGCUUCUUGGGCUGCUGCUUCUUGGACUUCCCAGAGGGGAGCAUCUUGGGAAAACUGAGGCUGCCCUAAGGUGCUCAGACCCCAAACCUGAGACAUGCAACUGGGCAGAGCUCCUGAGAAACAACUGGAAAGAAACGAGCACCCUCCACCCCCAUUCGAACUUCCCAAAUCCCUUCUUUUCCCUUCUCUCCUGACUUCCCUGUCAGCACAGACCCAGAUAGUCCAGGAAUCCGGAAGCCCUGCUUCCCACUUCACUAAGGUGAAACCUCCUCUUUACCCCAAUACCAUGGUUCAUUAUUUAACAUCACUCCAAAUUCACUGCCCCUUGACAGGUUCUGGGAGAGGGAGGAAGAGGAACUGGCACCCAUGAGGACCUGCUGUGCUCAAUCUCUAUGAUCUCAUCUACCUCACAGCCCACUGUGGGAGGAGAGCAGUGGUUACCCCUUCCACCAGAUGAAGGGACCGAGAGUGAAGUCACUUGCUCUAAACCUGCAGCAAGUGACAGGAGACAGAGUCAGCCACCAGAUCUUUCUUAAAGCUCAAAAUGGAACAGAAUUACAGAAUUUUCUUUUUCUUUCUUUCCUUCUCUCUUCUUUCUUUCUUUCCCUCUCCUUCCUUCCUUCCUUCCCU